GCGUCAUGUCUGAAAUGCAGGGUGAUGUUCUUUCUACAAAGUUGGAGGAAGAAAUCAGCACUUUGAAGGAACAGCUAAUGCUCAUAAUGUCCAAACUGGAGGAUCAGAGAUCCGUGGAGAAAGAGCUGUUGAAGUCUCUUGAACAGUGGAAAGAUGAAGAAAACGAAAGGCAAAAGGCAAAAAUGCAAGAAAUUAAACAGAUGUUGCUUAAGGAAUUUAAUAAGCUGACCGAUAUGACUGACCUUCUAAACGAUUUCCUAUAUCACCUGCACAGCCUGCACUCCAGUGCCUAUAUUAAGGAUGAAAACAAGCGAAAACUAGCAGAUAAACUGGACAGAAAGCUGCAAAAACAGAAGGAAUGGAUACUGUCUCAAAGAGAGCAGAUCGAGACGCUUACUUCAAAUCCACCAGAGCACAGAGAAAAGAAAGUGGAGGUAAAAAAACAGAAAUGUGCUGUGAGGAGAAAUCUCAUGAAGGAGCUGAGCCUGUCACUGCAGGCUCUUGUUGAGGAGCUGGAAGAUAUUUGCAUGGAACUUUUCUCUGCUCAAGAAAAGAAAGUUGGAGUGACAAAACAGAGCCUCAAAAGCCAUUUGAGAAGAAACCGCAUCAUAAAGGAGCUUUGGAAGUUAUUGGCCCAAGAUUUUUCUGAGGACCUGGAAGACUUCUGGACAGAACUUUUCUAUGUUUUGCAGAAGAAGGUGGAGAUAAAAAAACAGAUGCCAAAAACUCUCGGUUGGAAAAGCACUGUUAUAAAGGAGCUUGGGCCAUUGUUAUUGCAGGCUCUUGUUGAGGAGCUGGAAGACUUGAUCGUGAAGGUUUUCUACAUUACAGAAAAUAAAGUUGAGGAGAAAAAACAGAAGGCAGAAAGGUCCUUUAGCAGAACUCCCACCCUGAAGGAACUGGGAUCAGUGUUGCUGAGGACUCUUCUUGAGGAACUGGAAGACUUCUGUAUGAAAGUUUUCUGUGCUACCGAAAAGAACGCAGAGGAGAAAAAACAAACACCAAAAAGUCCCUUGAGGAGAAGCCCUGUCGUACAGGAGUUGCAGCCGUUCAGCUUGGAGGAGAGAUCCAAGGAGGAGCUUGUAGAAAGGUCCAGAGCGGCGGAAAUCAGCAUGACUGAGUUUGUUGCUUUGGCUGCUGAUAGCGAUACUGAGUGGACAGAUAUGAGUGACAUGGAGAACAACCAACAGCAGGAGCAGCUCAACAGGCAUUCCACCCAGAAGAAAGAGAAGGCUUCUCAAGGUGGACUGAUCAAAAAUUUGCAGCACCUUGAGAGGCUGUUUACAGAGCGAGCCUUAAAGAAGCCGAUGGAAAGAGACUUAUCUCACAAGAGAAAUGUGUGGCAGAAACCUGAGGAUUCUGAGAAGGAUGACAGUGAUGACAAUGAUGACAAUGAUGAAAAUGACUAUGAUUACUCAGAUUCUUGCUCUUUAGAGGACAACCCUUCACUAAGCAAACCUGCUGCUGUGAAAAACAGUUUGGAUUCCAUGAGCACCAGUGUCUGGGCUUCUUCAACAGGUAUUAAUAAAGUGAAGGCACACUGCACCAUGAAGACACCCGUGACACUACUUGACUGCAGUGAUUCUAAAGACAAGAUGUAAUGAAUAUUACAGAUUUGUAAAGGUUAACCAUCCAAAAUGUUUGUAAUUAUAAUAUGUAAAAUUAGCAAUAUAUAAUAAAAAUUAUGUUAAUAUAUUGCUGGAUUUUCUG
ensembl:lncRNA